rnacentral:rRNA from 1 species
GACAGAGGGUGCAACCGUUGUUCGGAAUUACUGGGCGUAAAGCGCGUGUAGGCGGCUAUGCAAGUCGGAUGUGAAAGCCCUCGGCUCAACCGGGGAAGUGCACCCGAAACUGCAAAGCUAGAGUCUCGGAGAGGAUCGUGGAAUUCUCGGUGUAGAGGUGAAAUUCGUAGAUAUCGAGAGGAACACCGGUGGCGAAGGCGGCUACCUGGACAAUUGCUGACGCUCAGGCACGAAAGCGUGGGGAGCAAAAGGG